rnacentral:rRNA from 4 species
UGGGGAAUAUUGGACAAUGGGCGAAAGCCUGAUCCAGCCAUGCCGCGUGUGUGAAGAAGGUCUUCGGAUUGUAAAGCACUUUAAGUUGGGAGGAAGGGCAGUAAGUUAAUACCUUGCUGUUUUGACGUUACCGACAGAAUAAGCACCGGCUAACUCUGUGCCAGCAGCCGCGGUAAUACAGAGGGUGCAAGCGUUAAUCGGAAUUACUGGGCGUAAAGCGCGCGUAGGUGGUUUGUUAAGUUGGAUGUGAAAGCCCCGGGCUCAACCUGGGAACUGCAUCCAAAACUGGCAAGCUAGAGUACGGUAGAGGGUGGUGGAAUUUCCUGUGUAGCGGUGAAAUGCGUAGAUAUAGGAAGGAACACCAGUGGCGAAGGCGACCACCUGGACUGAUACUGACACUGAGGUGCGAAAGCGUGGGGAGCAAACAGG